UGCCUGGUAGUGGGGGAUAACGUUCGGAAACGGACGCUAAUACCGCAUACGUCCUACGGGAGAAAGCAGGGGACCUUCGGGCCUUGCGCUAUCAGAUGAGCCUAGGUCGGAUUAGCUAGUUGGUGAGGUAAUGGCUCACCAAGGCUACGAUCCGAAACUGGUCUGAGAGGAUGAUCAGUCACACUGGAUCUGAGAAACGGUCCAGGCUCGUACGGGAGGCAGCAGUGGGGAAUAGUGGACAAUGGGCGAAAGCCU
rnacentral:rRNA from 1 species